AGCACGAGUGGGGGCGGGGCAGAGAGCCAGGGAGAGAGGGAGAAUCCCAAGCAGGCUCUGUGCUGUCAGCACAGAGCCCCAAGUGGGGCUCAAACCCAUGAACCAUGAGAUCAUGACCUGAGCUGAAACCAAGAGUCGGACACUCAACCGACUGAGCCACGCAGGCGCCCCUCUCAGAUUCACUUCUCAGUGUUGUUAUGCCACCACAUUUAUUCAAUGACAGCCGAAGUGUCUUAACUUUAUCAUAAAUGCCAGUUGUCCCCUUCCCGGCUUCCUAUCUCAAGUGACAAUCAUAAGGGUCGAAUGUUACUUCCACAUUAUUUUACUAGAAAUGCAGACAUACAGCACAAUGCAAUGUGACAGGUUGUUUUCUUUCCUUUUUUCUUCAGCCUCUGUACAUCUGCUUAAGAGUGUUAUCUGGAUAAUGUUAUUUUUCAUUCUGCUUUAGUCAUGGUAUGUCAAAUGCGUUUGAAAUUCUAAGGACAAAAAUGCAUCCAUUCGUUGUUAAUUUCAUCCAUGUAUCCGUCCAUCUGCUCAUCCAUUUAUCCAUCCAUACGUUUACUUCAUCAUUUUUUCUUUGCAUUUCUUUACAAAACUCUUUUGGUUCAGAUCCUGUGCAGGGUGCUAAAUAAAAGACACAUUUUUUUCUGCUGAGCUCAGAGGGAGAGGCCAGAGUUGUAAAUACUGAUUACAGCAUAAAGCUGUGGGGAGGCCCCACCCAGCGUGGGCUUGGGCAGGAAGAUUCCAGUGAGGAGAUGAGAAAGCCAAGAGGAGCAGCAAAGAGCAACAGCUUGUAGGCCCUUGGGUUGGGCUAUCCUCAGAAGCACGUAAGUGCCCUGUGUCUGGGGUACCCAGUGUCCAGAAGUAGCCUGUGAAAUGAGGCACAACACCUGGCUAAGCUUAUCCCAUUUUUCCCUCCCGGCAGCCCUGUGAUAGCUUUUUGGAAUUCAGAACGUGGCUGUUGCCAGGUGGGGCCGGCCGGGGGCCAGCAAGCUGCUGCUUGCACCUCAGAAGAUCCCACGUUAGAACCGAAGGGGAAACCUUUCCGUAGGCUGUGCAGGUAAUAGCGACUCUUAAGAGGCCUCCCAUCCCACCUUUGCCCUGCUCCAAAAUGAAAAUGUAUUUAGGUCUGUUCCUGGGAAACAUCUUACACUGGCUCCCCAAGCUCUCCUAAGGAAGUCGGAGCUGACCCCCAGGCCAGGUAGGCUUCUCUCCUGCCCUCUUACCUAAGUACUGUGCUUCCUGUAGUCAAACCACUUUCCUCUUGAGAUUGUCCUUAUCUGCCACCCUGGGAGUUCUCCGAAAGCAGGGGCCACUUUGUAAAGAACUUUCUUAACAGCAGGAAUACUCCUGGAGGUGAGGAGGCAAAGCAGGAAGGGGGAGGGGUGGGAAGACAGACCCGGCUCUGGAGAUGGAGGGAU